UUUCUUUGGCCCCUCUUUCUCAUUCUGCCUUCUGCCACCAGCCUCCAUCUCCACUGCAAAACUCUCCACGUCCCAUUCAGGUCAGGGCCUUCCUUCACAGGCACAAAAGCUCAUCCUGCAAAUAAUCAGCUUCUGCCCAGGUUCUCUAUCAUUAGCAAUAUAGAAAAGAGCAGAAGCUUUCAAGUUUUGCUCACAAUUUGAC
rnacentral:lncRNA from 1 species